rnacentral:rRNA from 1 species
CAGCAGCCGCGGUAAUACGUAGGGGACAAGCGUUGUCCGGAUUUACUGGGCGUAAAGGGCACGCAGGCGGUUUUUUAAGUCAGAUGUGAAAGGUACCGGCUCAACCGGUGACAUGCAUUUGAAACUGAAGGACUUGAGUAUUGGAGAGGCAAGUGGAAUUCCUAGUGUAGCGGUGAAAUGCGUAGAUAUUAGGAGGAACACCGGUGGCGAAAGCGGCUUGCUGGACGAAUACUGACGCUGAGGUGCGAAAGCGUGGGGAGCAAACAGGAUUAGAUACCCAGGUAAUCCACGCCGUAAACGAUGAGUGCUAGGUGUUGGGGAGACUCAGUGCCGCAGCCAACGCAAUAAGCACUCCGCCUGGUGAGUACGACCGCAAGGUUGAAACUCAAAGGAAUUGACGG